UGUACAGAAAGGAGUAAUCUGAAGUGAAUUCAUGCUAUGUUAACAGUCUAACAAACAUCUUGGAGGUGUGAAUGCUUUCUUGGGUCUGACAAGUAAUCAAUAAUUGAUGGUAUACUGGGAUUUUUCUCAUACUUCUAGCACUUCCUCAUUGACAAUAAAGCAAGUAGUAUCACAACAAAGGCUAUCCAGGUAUUUUUUUUCAACUAUAAUCCUUCCAGCUUUAGGGACUGCUCAAUUGGAUCUGCACAGUCCAACAAAAUAAAUGUGCAUACUGUCUGCGACACUUUCAUCCGAUCAUCACGAAGGUAGUUGUAGGAGUAAAAAAGUAUGUCAUACUGUUUUUUCAGUUCAAGCCAAAAGGCUAGGACAGGUAAUACUUGUUUUUACAGUACUUGUGCAAAAAGUAUGUCAUACUGUUUGCUCUAGAUGAUUUUGAUGAAUUUUACAACCUUAUUUUCAGUUGUUUACCCCAAGAAAUGGUCUGCUUUCAUGGGGUUUAUUGAAUCCAGGAAAGAACUGUGAGUAGUAGCGAACCAGACAUGAAAAGUUUCAGAGAACUACGAAAACUCCGGUCAGUUUUGUCGGGAUCUUGUGACACAGUUCCAGGACUCUAUUGACUAAGGAAAUGAUAUAUAUGUGUGAUUUAUCCUGUUAAAACUUUUAGUGUUCACUUAGGGGUGAGUGCAACCAGUAACUGAAUUUAGACUAUGAACUAGAGUAUGACAGUAAAGUCAGGAGCAUGAUGGAGAACACACGGGACAUUGAGGACUAAUGGUCAACACUUAAAUCUUGCUUUACAUACAGUUCAGUUCCAAGUAGUCUGAUACAUAGAUGGCGAGGGGAGUGCUGAUUUGGGGUUGAUUUUGGUAAUUAUAUAUUUUCCUUGAUUACUGUCAUUUUGUUGUCCUACAUGUGCUAUAUGAUAUGCAUAACAACUUGAGAGCACCUUUGCUUCUCUUGAUGUGCUUCGUCAAACAGUUUUUUAAAGUGCACAAGCAAGCUUGCGAGUGAUGACAACUACUAUGACCUACAACCUUGAAUCUAGGUUUUUGGGGUUGAACAUAGGGGCACAGCGCGCUCUCCCAUCUAACCAGUGAAGUGUAAUGAAGGAAAAGCUACAAUAUACAAAUCGUCACCGUCAUUCAGUUUGUCCAAAACUGAGAAAAGCUCUUUAAAAAAACUAGGAAAAGCUCACGUGAUGGAAUGAGAUGAGAUUUCAACAUCAUGAUUGCGUUUUAUAAUUUGAACGACCAAAGUAGAUGGUCCCGUCAGCCCGUGUUUGACAAUAUGAAGGGACAAACUUGUUGAUCCAUUAUUUUGCCAGGAAAAUACAAUAAUUCGGAGGGCUUAAAUAUGGAUAAUAGAUCUGACAUAAUCUAGCAAGGUGAGUGACUCAAUUGCACAUGUGCAAAAUGGAAGUUUAAACUUCCUUGAAUCUCUUGUAGGGUUUGGGGGCGAUUGUCAGCGAGCCACUGAUGAAAGUCCUUUUGCGAUGACAAUGCUAGAGAAGAUUUGAAAGAUCUUGGUUGGCGUGGGGCAACUUGUGUAUUCCUGGAUGGGGGCGCCGUCCGGUGGCAGUGGGGUGUGGCAGUUGCCGCAGCUGGGCACAACCGGGAGUCCACCUAUCCAGAACACCCAACUAUUUCACCCGGUGAACUGCGAAGAGCUUCUGUGUGCAUCUCCGUUAUAUUUAACUACGACAGGCUUAUGUUAUCUUAUCGCGAACUCAUUUUUCAGUUUGUGCCCAACGUGACUGCAUGUAAAUAUGUAAUACAGCAAUUUUGUUCUUCCUUUUUGUUGUUCGAUUGCCUCAGUAUACCAUCUCAAAUGUCAUUCCCUUUAUAGCUAGCACAUCAUCUCCAAAGAAUUUAUUUAAGUCGAAAU
rnacentral:lncRNA from 1 species